rnacentral:rRNA from 1 species
AGGUAAUAGAUACCCUGGUAGUCCACGCCCUAAACCGAUGAGAACUGGAUGUCGGGAGGGUUUGCCUUCCGGUGUCGUAGCUAAACGCGUUAAAGUUCUCCGCCUGGGAAGUACGGCCGCAAGGUUGAAACUCAAACGGAAUUGACGGGGUACCCGGCACAAGCGGUGGAGCAUGUGGUUUAAACUUCGAUGCAACGCGAAGAACCUUACCUGGUCUUGACAUCCCGAGGAACCCGUGCAGAGAUGCGGGGGUUGCCUUCGGGUAACCCGUGGAGACAGGUGCUGCAUGGCUGUCGUCAGCUCGUGUCGUGAGAUGUU